AGAAAGACUAGGUGCAAGGGGCAGAUCAGCUCCAUCUCAACGUCUACAGGGCUAAAAGCUAAGUCACUAUUGACUACGUCACUGAGUGACUAAGUGACUAGUGACGAAGUCACUAUUAGUGACUAUGUGACACAUGUGAUCAGAGACCAAGUCAUCACUUCCAGCACUGUGUUUGUAACUGUCUGGAAUGAAGGCAUUGUCACAGACUUUACUAUAGUUACCACCUUUACAAAGAAAAGAACAACAAAGCACAAGAAUCUUCAAGGAUUUGACUGGAAGCUGUCUUCCACAAAGAAUUCUUCCUAAACGAGACCAUGCCCAAUUCAACUUUAGAAGAUGCGUAUGAAGUAAUGGGGAAUUCUAUGUACUAAGGUUCAGAGCAAAAGAAUGAAACAAUGCAAACAAGACCAAAGAACUCUUUGUCCCAGAGGCUUGUAAAACAAGCUGAAAUCCAGUAGGCUGGAAGCCAUCUCCCCACCUCCCAUCUCUUCCCACAUCAGAUUCCAACAAGAGAAAUUCUCCCUCUGGGAAUUUGUUGCCACCACCAUCUUGCAGGACAGAAAACUCUGGCUCCCUAGUUCUCAUGGAGGUGAGGCCGAAGUAGAAUCAUCUGCUAUCAAGAGCUGUAGUCAAAAUGGAGUUCUGCCAUGGCAGCUUUACAUAUGAGGGAGAAAUUCGUAAGUCAGCCAUUGAAUUUCAGAGGCUGCUUGUACUCUGAUUCAGCAACAUUCUUGUGAUGGGAAACUGCCGCACAGAGAAUUAAGGUGCUCAUUGUGAAAUAACAGAAACCUCAUCAUGUCCAGUGGGUACAAUGGAUCAUCUGUAGUGCACGCACAUAGCAGGACACAUACAGCAGGAGCUCAACGGCCAAAAGGUGUGGGGAGGGAAGGCAGGAGAAGAAAAAAAAUUCAAACCCACACGAUCUGCUGGGGUCUGCAAGAGCACAGUAAAAAAGCACCUCUCCUUACCCUAGUCCUCUGAAAAUACCCUAUCUGAUGAGAUCUUCCCCUUCUUUUAAGAGUCAAACAAAAUGCUGCCAUCUUUGAGAGGCUUUCCUUGAAAACCCUAAACAGGGUUGGCACUUUCCAUCUGUGUUCCAUUAGCACCCUGUAUUAAUUAUUAUAGCGCUUAUUAAAUCGCUACAGUUUAUUUACAUUUGUUUCCCCAGUAGAUACCUCCUCAAGUAAUGGAAUAUUUUAUCCAUCUUUGUAUUACCAGUACUUCAGACGGUGCCUGGCACAUGCAAGAGUCCAAUAAAUAUUGGUUAACGAAUGACUGUAUGGAUUUCUUCAAAUGUUGAAAGAAACAGAAAAAGUAAAAAUCAAAUGAACAGCUCCCAAAUGAAUUAAUUUGCCAGUCUUGCUACUAAGAAAAUGGGAUUUAAGCAUGAAACCUCAAAGUGGCCUUACCAGUAGAUCUGAAGGCACUGAAUAUCUAAGGUAGACAAAUUCAACAGUGUCCCUUUCCAUCACAUUUUUAAAAAGUUAUAAGGAAUACUCUUUCCCUGGGCAUGCAAAAUCCUCAGUAAUGGGUAUGUAUGUUGUAUUUGGCAUUUCUGACGUCUAAAGAAAUAUUUAAGUCAGAUUGAACAUAUAUGCAGGGUUCAGCAAUAUUCAGAAGAAAAACUAUCCGAUUCCUUCAGGGGAAAUAAAGGGUUCCACCACGUUCUGAUCAUAAUUAAGGAAAUAAAACUGAAUUAAAGCCCCAAUGCAGACUGAAUCAGAAGGGUCCUUUGUGCUAGCCACCAAAUGAAUGGUUCACUGGAGUGGGAACAAGCACAGUCCCUAAAUCCCAACGUCUUAAGAGAUAAAGAUAAUGGAAUGCUACAGCAAUAAAGACAGGUAAAA